rnacentral:rRNA from 1 species
GGCGGACGGGUGAGUCAACGCGUGAGUAACCUGCCUCUGAGAGGGGAAUAACAUUCUGAAAAGAAUGCUAAUACCGCAUAAUAUAUAUUUAUCGCAUGAUAGAAUAAUCAAAGAUUUAUCACUCAAAGAUGGGCUCGCGUCUGAUUAGCUAGUACGUGGGGUAACGGCUCACCUAGGCGACGAUCCCUAGCUGGUCUGAGAGGAUGACCAGCCACACUGGAACUGAGACACGGUCCAGACUCCUACGGGAGGCAGCAAGUGGGGAAAUAUUGCACAAUUGGGCGCAAGCCUGAUGCAUGCCAUGCCGCGUGUAAUGAAGAAGGCCUUCGGGUUGUAAAGUACUUUCAGCGGGGAGGAAAGGUGUUGAGGUUAAUAACCUCAGGACAAUUUGACGUUACCCGCAAGAAGACAGCACCGGACUAAACUCCGUGACCAUGGCAGCCGCCGGUUCAAUACACGGAGGGUGCAAAGCGUUAAUCGGAAUUACUGGGCGUUAAGCGCACGCCAGCGGUUUGAUUAAGUCACGAAUGUGAAAAUCCCCGGGAACUGCAUUUGAAACUGGCAGGCUUGAGUCUUGUAGAGGGGGGUAGAAUUCCAGGUGUAGCGGUGAAAUGCGUAGAGAUC